AUGGCAGGGUCUGGACGUGCAGCCGUGGCAACCGCCCGGUCGGCGGGUCUUGGAGGCUCGGGACAGCCGCACGCGCGGCGGCAGCAGCAGUCGCAGGGACAGCAGCGCUCGGCCUCACGGCCCGGACAGCGCAGCAAAGAAAAGAAGAAAGUGAAUUGCAAGCCCAAGAACCAAGAUGAGCAAGAAAUCCCUUUCCGACUCCGAGAGAUUAUGAGGAGCCGACAGGAGAUGAAAAAGGCGCUCAGUAACAAGAAGAGAAAGAAGGAGGCCCAGGUGGCUUUCAGGAAGACCUUGGAAAAGGAAGCAAAGGGAGAAGAGCCAGACAUCAUUGUCCCCAAGUUCAAGCAAAGGAAGGGAGAGUCUGAUGUGGCCUACAUCCAGCGCAUGGAGCAGGAGGCCCAGCAUGUGCUGUUCCUUAGCAAGAACCAGGCCACUCGGCAGCCAGAGGUGCAGGCAGCUCCCAAGAAGGAGAAGUCCGAACGGAAGAAAGCGUUUCAGAAGCGGCGACUUGAAAAAGCCCAGAAGAAAAAGGAGGCACGAGCAGUGGAGAGACUGGAGCAGGAGCUGCUCAAAGACACUGUGAAGUUUGGAGACGUUGUGCUACAGCCCCCAGAGCUGACAGUCCAGCCUAGAAGGAGCACGAGCAGAGAUGCGCCUGGCAAGAAACCGCUAAUGCUAAAGAUGCUUUUGGGCCCUGGUGGUGUGUCCCUGACUCCAGCCACCUCACUGGCCCGCCAGCGGAUCCUGGGGGAAGAGCGGGAACGUGCUGUGCAGGCUUACAGAGCCCUGAAGAAGCUGCAGCGACAGGAAGUGACGCCUGCCCAGCCACCUGGCAGCUCUUCUCAGAGGAAGCUCCAAACUUGUCUGUGAUUCAGAGACCCAAGGGUGCAAUCCCCUGGAAACUGGCCUGGGAGCUGCUAGACCUGGAAAGGGAAAGACAGCAGAUGCUUUCUCUGGAUAGGGGCCUGAGCAUAAGCUUUCAGUAUGGGGAUGGGGUGUUUCAUUAUGGGGAUGGGUGCUUCCCUUUCCCCUUCCCCUUUUAAGAUCAUCCUUCUCAGAGUGACCACCCAGGAAUCCCGUCCCGUACAGGGCACGUUUCCGCAGCACUUGCCUGGGGCACAGAGGGAAGGGCUGGUGUUUCCCUGAGCCUACCUUCAUUCUGACACAAGACUCAGGGAAGACAAGCCGGGACCACUGCAGAAAGGACUCAAUUCCUAAUCCAGCUGAUUACUGAAGCUGCUGAUGAAGAAGCAGUGUCAUCAUCCACUUAAAGCACAAUUGGCCAAUUCUGUGAACUGCAGUAAAGUCAAGUCUGGGUAACUCUCUCUUACCCAUAUGUACCUUUGGUAUGUCUUUAAAGAAGCUCACACCUAUGCUUUCAGGUAUUUUUAUUUUUUUUGUUUUUUCUAGACAGGGUUUCUCUGUGUAGUUUUGGUGCCUAUUCUGGAUCUCACCCUGUAGACCAGGCUGGCCUCGAACUCACAGAGAUCUGCCUUCCAAGUACUGGAAUUAAGGCAUGUGCGACCACUGCCCAGCGGUAUUACUUUUAAAAAAGAUUUAUUUAUCACAUAUACAGUCUUCUGCAUGCAGGAAUGCCUGCAUGCCAGCAGAGGGCACCAGAUCUCAUUAUAGAUGGUUGUGAGCCAUCUUGUGGUUGCUGGGAACUGAACUUGCAAGAGCAGGCAGCACUUUCAACCCCUGAGCCGUUUCUCCAGCCCCUCAGGUAUUCUCUUUUAGGUGCUUUUCUUUCUCAGAAUACCUAUAGUAAAUCUCUGGUUUAAAAUCUCUGCUUUAUCACAAAAGGAUUGUUUACCUGUGCUUAAGCCUUCUCAAAUGGAUCUUGGACCUAAUGAUGGUAUGGAGCCACCUGUCUAGUAUGGUCUUCCCAUUCUUCCCACUUCUGCUGUGGAAGACCAUAAGGCAGCUCUUGCUCCUUGCCUACUCCAAGGUCAGGCCUGGACUUUGCUACCAUUUUGGACUCCUGACUCUUUCAGAGCAGCACUCUUUAAAUAUUAACAGGUAGGCUGGGGCAUCACCACUGUUGCCUCAGUGACUGACUAGGUACUGACAUGUAAAGGUAGAACACCCCUGGGGGUCCCCAGACCUCCCCACUUUGUCCUGAUUGAAAACCAAGCACCUUGAUCUUAGUAACUGGCUACAGGUUCUUUUCAGCA